UGCUCAAUUUUGCAAUUGAUGACGCAAUCCUUGAGGAGCGAAUUACUGGACGCUGGAUACACCCAUCCAGUGGCAGAACCUACCAUACAAAGUUUGCUCCUCCCAAGGUUUCUGGGGUUGAUGAUGUAAGACUGCAUCUUUAUUUAAGUCCUGCAAAAUGUUAAUUGCCAGUUAUAACUUUCAGUUCAUUUGAAAUGAUCUGAAAACGACUAUGAAUUCUUUUAAAUAAUAUCUUUCUGCGAGUUAAAAAAGCUUUUGCACAUCGACUUUUUAUUAUACCUCCCUCCCUAAAAUGAUCAACUGAUAAGUAUGGACUUUUUUACGGUAGAAAUUGAAUACCUGUGAAGUUCCCAUGAGCUAGUAGCCUAUCCAAACUGGAUCUAAGUAUGAUUUCUGCUUAUUGAGACUUUUAAGCAUUUGUAAGACUUCUUUAAAAGCUUUUGAAUGUGUCUUUCAGACUUGAUUGUGAAUGUUGAAUGAAAUGAGGUGCAAAAAUAUACUGUUAAGGUAUUUUAUUGGGAAAAUGAAUUUUGUUUGGAGGGAACUGGUGGGAAAAUGAAUUUUGUCUGUAUUUCAAAAUCAAUUUUUUCGUUUUCAGGUUACUGGUGAGCCUCUUAUCCAGCGCAAGGAUGACACUGCAGCUGUUCUUAAGUCAAGACUCGAGUCGUUUCACAGGCAAACUGAACCGGUAUGAUUCCAAAUCCAUUUUCAGUGAAAUUAAUGUUUAAACUUCAAAUAUUCAGUAGCUUCAGGAAAGGUUUUUUUUUUAGGCAUGUCAAUCAGGCCCAAAUUCAUUGGGUGUCCAGAAAAAAUACCGUGUGUUUAGGGUAAAUACCUGUACUGUGGGUAUUGGGUGUGGGUCCAAGUAAUUACAUGCAAUUUUGAAUGGGUAAACCCACACUUAUCUGCAUAUACUAAUCAAUAACUUGUAUUGAAUACAUAUUUUAAAAACUGAUUGUUGGAUUGAAAGUUUAUACAAUAUAAUAUUCUCCGUAAGUUUUUACGUAAAUCUGAAAUAUUUAAUGCCUUUAAUUAAAUGAAGUUGAUCUUGAUGCAUCUCAAUGACCGAUAAAAUAAUUUUGACUUAUGUAAAAUUUUAAAGAAUUGAUUUAUACUAUAUAAACUUUCAAUCCAACUGUCAAUUGUGUAAAAUAUGUAAUCGAUAGAAAGUUAUUGAGCAAUGUAGCACUAAUUAAUCAAGUGCAACCUUAAUUUGGUCUUUGAUAUUAAUGACUUUAGAUCAAAGCAUGUGUUUUCAUUCCUUUUUCAAUUUAUUUGUCGUAGGGAAAAAAACAUGAUUUUAUUGCUUCCCUUUUCAAAUCAGCAUUUGAAUCUUUGAGCACAUGUCAUUUUUUCUUUAAACUACAGUUGUUGAUUUCAAACUACCCCCACAAUUGUUCAUUUCCAAAUUUAUUCAUUACUUCAUUCAUUUGUUUUUUUAGAUGACUGCAUUCGUUCUUUUGUACCAACGUUUAGAUUUAUGUGACGGUGUUAAUCGUGCACUAAAAUAUAAAUCUUUAUCUUUUAUCAAUUCAAUUCAGUUUUUAUUAAGAAUGCAUUCAUUUCUCGCAUUUUAGAUCCAAAUGAACUUUAUUAAUCAACUAAACUUGAAAAUAUCAAUUGAGUCUGUGCAUUCUUAUUUGGCGGUUUUCCUUAUUUUGAUUUGUAAUGUUGAGUAGAUUUGAAAGAUCUUAAGAUAGUUGUUCGAUCGAGUUAGGGUGCACUUUUAUUUAUUUAUCUAUUGAUUGAUUACUCAUAGUUAAAGAGCGGGCAAUAGAUAGGUCAAGGUUUUGGAUAGGAACUAUAUUACCCUAAUCCAUAGGGUACCCAUUGCCAUCCCUAAAACUCCUGUCUAUAUUCUAACUCUCAUCAUUUUGGCUAAUUUUUGGCCUUAUUUCAAUUUUACGCACACCUUUCCUGUUAUUUAUGUUGUUUUUUUUUUAGAACUUUCUUUGUAACUCGUUGUAAUGGUCUAAAAUGAAAAUGUGCAAUGAACAUGCAGGUUAUUGAUUACUAUUCGAAAAAGGGCAUUGUUGCUAGUCUCCAUGCUGAAAAACCUCCCAAAGAGGUGACAUCUGAGGUCGAGAAAGUGCUGUCUCAAUAGAGUUCCCCUUGAACCCUUGGGAUCGAACUGCUGCUUAUUUUUUUAGGAAACUU
rnacentral:lncRNA from 1 species